GACGGAGGAUGCAAGCGUUAUCCGGAAUGAUUGGGCGUAAAGCGUCCGUAGGUGGCAGUUCAAGUCUGCUGUCAAAGACCGGGGCUCAACCUCGGAAAGGCAGUGGAAACUGAACAGCUAGAGUAUGGUAGGGGCAAAGGGAAUUCCUGGUGUAGCGGUGAAAUGCGUAGAGAUCAGGAAGAACAUCGGUGGCGAAGGCGCUUUGCUGGACCAUAACUGACACUGAGGGACGAAAGCUAGGGGAGCGAAUGGGAUUAGAUACCCCAGUAGCCCUAGCCGUAAACGAUGGAUACUAGGUGUUGUCUGUAUCGACCCGGACAGUGCCGUAGCUAACGCGUUAAGUAUCCCGCCUGGGGAGUACGCACGCAAGUGUGAA
rnacentral:rRNA from 1 species